rnacentral:rRNA from 1 species
GACGAACGCUGGCGGCGUGCUUAACACAUGCAAGUCGAACGAUGAAGCACCAGCUUGCUGGUGUGGAUUAGUGGCGAACGGGUGAGUAACACGUGAGUAACCUGCCCCUCACUCUGGGAUAAGCCUGGGAAACUGGGUCUAAUACUGGAUACGACCGAUCCCCGCAUGGAAUGUUGGUGGAAAGUAUUUGUGGUGGGGGAUGGACUCGCGGUCUAUCAGCUUGUUGGUGGGGUAAUGGCCUACCAAGGCGACGACGGGUAGCCGGCCUGAGAGGGCGACCGGCCACACUGGGACUGAGACACGGACCAGACUCCUACGGGAGGCAGCAGUUGGGAAUAUUGCACAAUGGGCGGAAGCCUGAUGCAGCGACGCCGCGUGAGGGAUGACGGCCUUCGGGUUGUAAACCGCUUUCACCAGAGACGAAGCUAACGUGACGGUACCUGGAGAAGAAGCACCGGCUAACUACGUG